rnacentral:lncRNA from 10 species
UGACUUCUAAAAUAGAAAUAAACAGCGUUAACAAAAAGAACCCCGGGUGAGGAAGAAAGAGUCUACCUUAUUUGGAACAAGGAUCUUUGCAAAUACACUUAAUUAAGGAUGCCUGGAUAUGGAUGCAUCUUUUGAAGGUCCAAUAUGCAACCCGUGACAGGAAGUAGAGUCUAUGACUCUUCCCCUUGAAUCUCCAUGGGACUUUAUUGCUUCAGAGACAAGGAAUGUCGCAAAAGUGAUGCUGCUUGACUUUUGAGAGUAGCUCUGGAAGACAUGUGAGCUGAGAUGGUUUUAAGAUGGCCCCAACCCAGCCACCAUCUGACUCCAAUAGCAUGAGAGGCUUCUAAGGAGAACUUUCUUGAUAAGUCCAGUCAACCUCACAUUUGUAAGCAAAAUAAAUGAUUUUUUAAAUUGUUUAGUUAUUGUUUUAAG